rnacentral:rRNA from 1 species
GAUGAACGCUAGCGGCAGGCCUAACACAUGCAAGUCGAACGGUAACAGGAAAAAGCUUGCUUUUUUGCUGACGAGUGGCGCACGGGUGCGUAACGCGUAUACAAUCUGCCUCUUACAGGGGGAUAGCCUUUAGAAAUGAAGAUUAAUACCCCAUAGUAUAUACCAAUCGCAUGAUUAGUAUAUUAAAGUUUCGGCGGUAAGAGAUGAGUAUGCGUUCUAUUAGCUAGAUGGUGUGGUAACGGCACACCAUGGCAACGAUAGAUAGGGGCCCUGAGAGGGGGAUCCCCCACACUGGUACUGAGACACGGACCAGACUCCUACGGGAGGCAGCAGUGAGGAAUAUUGGACAAUGGGCGAGAGCCUGAUCCAGCCAUGCCGCGUGCAGGAAGACUGCCCUAUGGGUUGUAAACUGCUUUUAUAUAGGAAGAAACCUUUCCACGUGUGGAAAGCUGACGGUACUAUAAGAAUAAGGAUCGGCUAACUCCG